rnacentral:misc_RNA from 1 species
GAUGAAGAACGCAGCGAAAUGCGAUAACUAAUGUGAAUUGCAGAAUUCAGUGAAUCAUCGAGUCUUUGAACGCACAUUGCGCCCCCUGGUAUUCCGGGGGGCAUGCCUGUCCGAGCGUCAUUACAACCCUCAAGCUCAGCUUGGUGUUGGGCCCCGCCGCCCCGGCGGGCCCUAAAGUCAGUGGCGGUGCCGUCCGGCUCCGAGCGUAGUAAUUCUUCUCGCUCUGGAGGUCCGGUCGUGUGCUCGCCAGCAACCCCCAAUUUUUUUCAGGUUGACCUCGGAUCAGGUAGGGAUACCCGCUGAACUUAAGCAUAUCAAUAAGCGGAGGA